rnacentral:lncRNA from 1 species
GCCUCUUCUGGGGAGGAGAUAGACAAUCUGAGUCUUCGCCACCGAGUUUUGGUAAGUAACCAAAUGCUCCUCCCGCUUCGAAAAACUUGAGUUCGCAAUCGCGAGAUCGAAUGCCUUGGCAAAGUCCAACAGCGAAGUGCCCCCUCCAUUUCGCUCCCCGAAACCAAAGCCGCCAUGUACCUCAAUAUAACCACCUGCAGACGAUCCAAUAUGACCGUUAAAAUCUCCUUCUAUGAAUAACCUCUUGGAAGGCAGAAUAUUACGAACGAUGUCGUCCAACCCCUCCCAAAAGUGCCUUUUAAUCUCCUCAUCCAAGCCUAUUUGUGGCGCGUACGCACUAACAACAUUUAGAGUACACUCACCCACCACCAAUUUAA